UUUACCAGUGAUUGCUUGCACAAUCAGAUUACAAUGGAUUUAACAGCCGCUUGAUUUUCACUUGAUAUUGUAUUUUCAGGUUAGCAGUAUGUUAUCCGUGAAUGCUUUUCUGUUAACAUAUGAACUAAUCAAGCCUAAUUGCAGCUUUCUCAUGUUGAUUUACAGUUAUGAGGAUAAUAAUUUUAUGAAGAAACUGUUUUUUUGUCUAAAAUGAGGCUGCCUCUGAUGGUAUCUAUUGUAUAAUACUACACGCAGUACAAUAAAAAGUUGGCCGGAUAACAUUUUAUGUGUCACUGAAUGUUACAUAUUUAAAUCUCAAGCCUCGCAUCAAAGAGCUUACUGAUAUCAUAAAUGCACAUCAUAUAUUAUUUUACUAAUAAUUUGAAAUUCAUACAAUCUAUGAUCAUGAUUGUAUUUUUUUAUAAACAUACAUCAUUAAUAUAAUAUUGCAUAUUGCAGAGAGUGUUAGGACUUAGGAUAUAGAUUUAUGUACAUAUCUCUGCAUUCUGAUAUAUACUUUUUGUUUCUUCCCUUAUCCCUACAGGAAGAAGUCCUCUUGGCAAACUUGAUACCAAUGUGUCUCAUAAGGACAAUAGUAAUGUUGUGGACAAUGUCAUGGUAGACAGGAAUUAUACAUAACCAAAAUUACACUUGAGGAGGUCAUCUACCUAGAUCUACUGGUACAGCUCUGGAUAAUUUUCUGAGCAAUAGGGCAGAAAGGAUUCAAACGAAAAAAACUGAUAAUCAAAAUCAGGAUGCCCAAUCAAUAUCUUCAAACAAUUGCGGUAUGGUAUGUAUUUAUAUUUACUUUAUUUUGUGUUUUUAUUCAAUUUAUUUAAUUAAGUUGCUGUUAGUUAAGUAAUUGGAGGCUUCAAUUAAGUUAAGUUUGUGUGUGUGUGUAAAUUGAUUGUUACUGCCUGCUGGAUACUAUUUGUGUGCGUAAAUUUAUUUGCUGGCUCUUUGUUGAAUUCUGCUGUCAAAGGUGUACCGCGUAGAGGACGUGGACCAAGCAUCCAAACUUUAUUUAAACAAAUAAGUUCAUCUAGCAAUUCAGAUGAUGGGGAACAAUUUAAAUAAAGAAGAGUUGGCAGCUUUAGAUACUAUUGGUGCAGGAAAACUAUUUCAUCAUGGCAAGAAUCGAGACAUUCCAGGUGCAGCAGAGACCUUCCGCUAUUAAGCAGGGGGCAGCAGAUAAAAUACAUGGAGAUACACUGAAGAUUAAAACUUGGUGCUGAUUUACGGUUUUGCAACGGGAGGGAAAUGAUUGGGACAACGUGUAAAAAGAAUAGUGUAGAGUGUGAGAUCCUUUUUUUCAUAUGACAUGCAUGGCUUUAUUUUUAUAUAUGAUGAUUAAUGUAAAACUGAGCCUGACAACUUUUAAUACUGUCAUCUACUUACUGGAGUAGAUUACAUUACAUAGACUGUCUUUUUUU